AGUCGCGAUGGAGCGUUUUACCGGAGCGGACCGUGCGUUUUGUGUGCGCGAGUUUUAUAAAAACGACAAUUCGGCAACCGUUGCGCGGCGUAAAUUUCGAGAACACAAAGGUUUACACAACUUUGACGACACUCCAACUCUUCAAACGAUUAAGAACUGGGUUGCUAAGUUCGAGGAGACCGGUUCGACGUUAGAUAAACCGCGAUUGGGUAGUCCAAUAGACAUGUAGGAAGCGAAAUGCGAGUCACACGUGGUGCCCGUGACCUGCCGCCAUUUCAUCCAUCCUGCAAAUUGUGCCUCACAGUAUGAUCCAGUUUGCUGUUGCUUUGAAUAUCAGACCUUAUCGGAAGUCUUGACGUACUGGCAAAGGUGCUCCGUCGAGAGCAAUGGGUGUAAAAUUGGAGACCGCCAAAAUCACACAACAGGUGUUCAGGUUUGAAUCUGCUGAUUUUUACGCGAACACUCUCCUGCAACCUGCGUCGCCAUUUCUCCAGUAUGUUUUAGAACACAAGUCAGUUUUCCUUCAAAAAAAUUCUUACCUUCAAAUGUUUACUCUAAAUUGACACAAUUUUGUAAUUUCAUCAUUGCAUUGUAUCGUUUUCUAAACCUUUCGAGUUAAAUCUCAUGUCAAAAAGAGUGCUUUAUGUCAUAUUAAGUCCUAAACAUAAGUCAGUGUAAUGUUGUUCUAAAAGAAUGAUUUAUUAAAUAAAACACCAUAUUCGAAUUGUAUUGUAAUUCAUAUAAAAAUACAAUCAUUAUUGUUUUAUUCAUUAUACAUAAAAUCGCUUUUGCCGGAGUAGGCAGAAACACCAAGUAUGCAAAACAUCAAAUGCUUCAAAUUUAAGUACAACACAGUUUUUGAAACAGGCACAUACAUUUCAGUCUGUUUUACAAAAGCUACAAUUUACAUUAUGAUAAAAAACAAAAAUCUCAAAAUGAAGAAUUGAAAAAAAGAAUACAAACUUGGGAUUUAAAAUUGUAAUAUUAAAAUGUUUGCUAUCAGUUAAAUUUGGCCGAAAUAGUCUUUAGUUGAAAAUAUUGUGACAUAGACAAAAAAAAACCUAAAAAUUAAACACAAGUGAGCGAAGAUAAUAAAAAAGCUAAAAUAUAAUGCAAUUUUAAAUAAUCUCCUAUUUAAUGACAAAAAUACUAAUUAAAAGUGUUCCCAGUAAAUAAUUAGAACAUAGAGUAUGCGAGCGACGCCACACCAUCACACAACAUCUUCAAAUCCUUCAAUUACUCUCAGUUUUGAAUCAACUCUGACCCUAAGUAGUGACCGCUAUCAACAAACAGUAAUCAAACACGUGUAUUGCGUACUUUAUAAUAAGUUUGAUGUAAAACUUGGUACACAUAUCGAGAUUGUGGGUAAAAUACUGCAUCAAGCAAGCAAGGUCGAGUCGCUCCACGUCCUAUCAGCAACAGAGCCCAAGGACCAGUCAAAACAAUCAGUAACCAAAAUCAUUUAAACAAAGGCACAUUUCAUAACAUGUUCCAAACCCAGCA